rnacentral:rRNA from 1 species
GAUGAACGCUGGCGGCGUGCCUAAUACAUGCAAGUCGAGCGAACAGACGAGGAGCUUGCUCCCCUGACGUUAGCGGCGGACGGGUGAGUAACACGUGGAUAACCUACCUAUAAGACUGGGAUAACUUCGGGAAACCGGAGCUAAUACCGGAUAAUAUAUUGAACCGCAUGGUUCAAUAGUGAAAGACGGUUUUGCUGUCACUUAUAGAUGGAUCCGCGCCGCAUUAGCUAGUUGGUAAGGUAACGGCUUACCAAGGCAACGAUGCGUAGCCGACCUGAGAGGGUGAUCGGCCACACUGGAACUGAGACACGGUCCAGACUCCUAGGGGAGGCAGCAGUAGGGAAUCUUCCGCAAUGGGCGAAAGCCUGACGGAGCAACGCCGCGUGAGUGAUGAAGGUCUUCGGAUCGUAAAACUCUGUUAUUAGGGAAGAACAAAUGUGUAAGUAACUAUGCACGUCUUGACGGUACCUAAUCAGAAAGCCACGGCUAACUACGUG